rnacentral:rRNA from 1 species
UACAUGGGGUGCAAACGUUGCUCGGAAUUAUUGGGCGUAAAGCGCGCGUAGGCGGUUACUUAAGUCGGAUGUGAAAGCCCUCGGCUUAACUGAGGAAGUGCACCCGAAACUGAGUAGCUAGAGUACGAAAGAGGGUCGCGGAAUUCCCGGUGUAGAGGUGAAAUUCGUAGAUAUCAGGAGGAACACCGGUGGCGAAGGCGGGUCUCUGGGCCGAUACUGACGCUGAGGAGCGAAAGCGUGGGGAGCGAACAGG